CACUAGACGCGGAGCGGUACAUUUAUUCUAGAGCGGUAUAUUAGCGGUUAUAGGUUCUCAUACAACUAGUAUAAUCUUUUAAAAUGUUUACUUUUAAUCUCAGCAAACUUUUGUAAUGAUUUUCCUCCAAGGUAUAUUUUUACAAGUAAAAAUUUAUUUUUGCAGUCCACAUUUUUCAUCGCUUUAUGCUGGUUAUACAUGUACUAGAAAGAGCACCUAAAUCUGAAUAAAUAAGUUGUUUCAAGACUUACUCAUUGAUAUGAACACCGCGACUACAAAAGUGGAUAUAAAUUUUCAAUCAGAAAUCUGAAUAUCAAUUUGCAAUUAUUACAAAUAACAUUUUACAAAAAACCUUACCUAUGUCACAAUCUGUACAAUCUAUAUUCUAAGUAUCAUCUUUGUCUGAGAUUGCUAUGAAGCCAGAAACAAAAAAAGCAAAGCUGCACAAGUUAGUCAUGCACCUCUAACUUUUUUUGGCAGAAAACAAAAAAAAGGGAUAUAGUUAAUUAUUUGUUUAUGUCUUUUGAUAUGUACUUCUAUUGAGUGUUUUUUUAAUGUUAUGCUAUUGCUAGUAGUUUAGACUAUUUUUCUUAGACUAUUUUUGUUAUUAUUAAUAAUUUUUUUUUGGUAAAGAAAUCUCAAUGUAGUUUAUAAUAAUAAUUCAAGGUUUUUUUUUUUUUUUUUUUUUUUUUUUAAAAUUUAAGAAAUAAUUUUAUAAUUUUUAACUAGUAAUUAACUCAUCUAGAAAGAUCUAUAUCAUGAACUAAAAAUGUUAUACUGAUAAGAUAUUGUGCGUUGAAUUUUUUAAAAAAAAACUUUUUUUAUAGCCACUAGUUAUUAAAAAACAUCUUUUAGAUUAGAAUGUUGAGAAACUUUGUAAGAUACUCAAGAACAAAGAAUCAGAUGAUACCAGAUCUGUUGAUAGUUUUAAUAAGUUUAUAUUUAAUGAUAUUGUUUUAAAAUUUCUAAAAAAGUUUGUAAAAUUUUAUAAAUUAUCGGUGCUUAUUGUUUUUUAAAUAAAAAUAUCUGGGCAUUUGUAAUUUUCCGGAAUAGUCAGAAAUUAGUCCGGAUGAACUGUAAACUUUUUUUUUAUAAAAACCGGAUAUUUUUCUUUUAAAUAUGGAAAUAUA